GUCAGUCCCGAUGGUGCUGACCUGCUCUGACCUCCCUGUUCUCUGAACCCCAAAACACAGGCUGACCAAUGAGCUCCAAAUCUCUGAGAACCGCAGACCAGAGAGAAGGUUGCACAGGGAAGAUCAACAAGAUUGUCCUUGGCUACGGAAGGAGAUUGUCCUUGGCUACAGAAGGGCUGGCAUAGCUUCCAGACGAGUGCAUGAGCGGCUGGGUACUGGCUUAAGAGCAGCCAUCGAUCACAUCGAGAGCCUUCCUGGGCAGUUUGCAGGAAUGAGAGUCCCGGAUACCCACAUGCAUGUCAAGGCGGCAGGAGGAACCUGUCUCAGUCUGAAAGCAUUCGGACCGUGAUACUAAGCCAGCCGUCUCCUCCCACCAAACCACAAAGGCCCAUAAAGGCCAAUACUAAAAAUAGCCCUGCAGGAGGAGGCUGGGCAACGGGCUUCGUCAAUAACAUGCUUGUCAGGCAAGCACGAAGAUCU